AGCAGUCGCCGCGGUAAUACGUAGGUGGCAAGCGUUGUCCGGAAUUAUUGGGCGUAAAGGGCUCGCAGGCGGUUUCUUAAGUCUGAUGUGAAAGCCCCCGGCUCAACCGGGGAGGGUCAUUGGAAACUGGGAAACUUGAGUGCAGAAGAGGAGAGUGGAAUUCCACGUGUAGCGGUGAAAUGCGUAGAGAUGUGGAGGAACAUCAGUGGCGAAGGCGACUCUCUGGUCUGUAACUGACGCUGAGGAGCGAAAGCGUGGGGAGCGAACAGGAUUAGAUACCCGCGUAGUCCCUGUCUCUUAUAC
rnacentral:rRNA from 1 species